rnacentral:rRNA from 1 species
UUUGGAUCGCAGUCUGCAACUUGAUUGCGUAAAGCUGGAAUCGCUUGUAAUCGCGGAUCAGCAUGCCGCGGUGAAUACGUUCCCGGGCCUUGUACACAUUCGCCCGUCACACCACGAGAGUUUGCAACACCCGAAGUCGGUGAGGUAACCUUUAUGGAGCCAGCCGCCGAAGGUGGGGCAGAUGAUUGGGGUGAAGUCGUA